UUCUUCUUCUUUUUGCAUACACAUUCUAUCUGGCUAGAAUCAUUAGCACAGACUUAACAAUAACGGUUCAUGUAUAAACCGAACAUACAUGUAUUAAACAGUUUAAUCACAGAACAGUUCAUCUCAUAGAAACACCGAAGUGUUCAAACUAUGGCACAAAGCCUCAUACAUACUACCACCUUGUACAACUAUCACACAUUUGCACAUAGACGAG
rnacentral:lncRNA from 1 species